CAUUCAGCUACUGAGAGAACUUUUCACUUUGUGUUUUAAUCUUCUUAAAGUUCCUAUAAAUCUGUUAAUAAAUAAAAACUAAAGAGGUUUUCUCUUCAAUUCUCUCAGUGUGUUCCAACGCCUGGAGAUGACACAUACACAGCGCUGAACCUCAUGACUGUGUCCCCAGAAUAUGACACACUGCAAAAUAUUAAAAGCUCUGCCAGUGACACUUACACCACCCUGAACCCUGCACCCAUGUGCUCUGAUUAUGAUACACUGAGGAAGUGAAACAACCUGCAACCACAGUCUCUGGGAGUAAGUGUGUACUCUAUAAGUGUGUGUUUGUGCAAAAGGAUGUUUGUUUAAGGACUGAAGUUGCAAAAAGAAUUUCUGUCUCAUGUAAAAGUCAUUCAUUUGUGUCCGUUCACUCGGUUCUGUAAUGUUGACUAAAAUUGUUGUUAAUGUCUUUGUAUUUAGUUAUUUAAACAUUUUAAAUACUUUGAUGUCAUUUGUUAUUUUUAUGUCUUGUAAACUAGAACAAAAUGAUGAUAAAGUAAGGAAUACACACCUCCCUGUACAGAAAUUCUAUUUUGCCUGAUGUGUUACUGUCCAGUGUUUAAAAUGUUUCUAUGUACAAGAAUAAAAUUGAGCUUAUGGGCGUUUU